AGAUCAGUUCAAAGAGUGCUCUUGGGAUGAAAGACUGAAGUUCUCCAUAGGAUGUAACAGUCACUCAAUAGUGUAUGUUAUCUUGAGGAGACAGAAGA
ensembl:snoRNA